CAAUAGCGUAUAUUAAAGUUGUUGCAGUUAAAAAGCUCGUAGUUGGAUUUCUGAUCGAGACAUCAGGUCGGGUCCGAGAAGAUCAUGUACUUUGAUUUUGUUUUGAUCAUCCUUGGGGAGAGCAUUUCUGGCAUUCAGUUGUCGGGAUUGGGAUCCUCAUCGUUUACUGUGAAAAAAUUAGAGUGUUCAAAGCAGGCCUCGGCCUCUGAAUACAUUAGCAUGGAAUAAUAAGAUAGGACUUUGGUGGUCUAUUUUGUUGGUUUGCACGCCAAAGUAAUGAUUAAUAGGGAUAGUUGGGGGUAUUCGUAUUCAAUUGUCAGAGGUGAAAUUCUUGGAUUUAUGGAAGACGAACUACUGCGAAAGCAUUUACCAAGGAUGUUUUCAUUA
rnacentral:rRNA from 1 species